CACUGGGACUGAGACACGGCCCAGACUGCUACGGGAGGCAGCAGUGGGGAAUCUUAGACAAUGGGCGCAAGCCUGAUCUAGCCAUGCCGCGUGAGUGAUGAAGGCCUUAGGGUCGUAAAGCUCUUUCGCCUGUGAAGAUAAUGACUGUAGCAGGUAAAGAAACCCCGGCUAACUCCGUGCCAGCAGCCGCGGUAAUACGGAGGGGGUUAGCGUUGUUCGGAAUUACUGGGCGUAAAGCGCACGUAGGCGGAUCAGAAAGU
rnacentral:rRNA from 1 species